AUUUGGUAACCAUUUUUUCUUUAAAAAGCUGGUAGCCAUAUUUCUUAUGCUUGUGUGCAUUUGGUGGUUUUCCCUGUUUUCCCGAAGUAUCAGUAAUUAAAUACUGUUUUAAUAGCUCAUGUGUGAAAGGAGGAAUACUUCUGAGGUUCCUCGUCCAUUCUCUGCAUUGACCAGUAAAUAUAUUAUCUGUUUGCUCCAUUACUUUGCAAAAAAAUGCACCAAAACGUGAAGUAAAAGGAAUAUAAACAGCAAACAGAAACACACGAACAAAUAGUUUCUUUUUUAAUUCUUCACCGAACAGUGAACAGCAGCCAAUAGUACUUAAAAGUACUGUUUAACAGUUUAAAUCUUUGAUACUGAAAAAGCCGAUACUUUGAAUGGAUAGUUUUCGCGCCAAACGUCCUCAAUGUUUUGGUUUGUAAUGGAACACUUGAUCAAGCAUGUGUUGUUUUAAGCCGGCUUGAUGUGAAAACACUUUUGCCUCUGGAACUAUUAACUAGGACUCGAUCGCAGAACUGCCUAUUGUAAGUGAUGAACAAGUGUGUCUUACUUAUUUUACACAAAUUUUAGCGAUGUACUUACCUUUAAAAUGUGUGAAAAGUCUAAAUUUGUGUUCG